rnacentral:tRNA from 1 species
UAGGCAGUAGUUCAGUGGUGGAGCUCUCGAUUCGUAUGUGGGAAGACCUGGGUUCGAUUCCGGGCUGCUUAC